rnacentral:rRNA from 1 species
UACGUAGGUGGCAAGCGUUGUCCGGAAUUAUUGGGCGUAAAGCGCGCGCAGGCGGUCCUUUAGGUCUGAUUUGAAAGCCCACGGCUCAACCGUGGAGGGUCAUUGGAAACUGGGGGACUUGAGUACAGAAGAGAAGAGUGGAAUUCCACGUGUAGCGGUGAAAUGCGUAGAGAUGUGGAGGAACACCAGUGGCGAAGGCGACUCUUUGGUCUGUAACUGACGCUGAGGCGCGAAAGCGUGGGGGGCAAACAGG